UACAGAGGGUGCAAGCGUUAAUCGGAAUUACUGGGCGUAAAGCGUGCGCAGACGGUCUCGUAAGUCGGGUGUGAAAUCCCCGGGCUCAACCUGGGAAUUGCAUUCGAAACUGCGAGGCUAGGGUACGGAAGAGGGAAGCGGAAUUUCUGGUGUAGCGGUGAAAUGCGUAGAUAUCGGAAGGAACACCAGUGGCGAAAGCGACUUCCUGGUCCAGCAUCGACGUUCAGGCACGAAAGCGUGGGGAGCAAACAGG
rnacentral:rRNA from 1 species